rnacentral:rRNA from 1 species
GACGAACGCUGGCGGCGUGCUUAACACAUGCAAGUCGAACGGAAAGGCCCUGCUUGCAGGGUACUCGAGUGGCGAACGGGUGAGUAACACGUGGGUGAUCUGCCCUGCACUUCGGGAUAAGCCUGGGAAACUGGGUCUAAUACCGGAUAGGAGCCAUUUUUAGUGUGAUGGUUGGAAAGUUUUUUCGGUGUGGGAUGAGCUCGCGGCCUAUCAGCUGGUUGGUGGGGUAAUGGCCUACCAAGGCGGCGACGGGUAGCCGGCCUGAGAGGGUGGACGGCCACAUUGGGACUGAGAUACGGCCCAGGCGCCUACGGGAGGCAGCAGUGGGGAAUAUUGCACAAUGGGCGCAAGCCUGAUGCAGCGACGCCGCGUGGGGGAUGACGGCCUUCGGGUUGUAAACUCCUUUCGCUAGGGACGAAGCUUUUUGUGACGGUACCUAGAGAAGAAGCACCGGCUAACUACGUG